UUUCCAAGUACCCCCUUCAGUGUGCUCGCGUACCCCUAGUGGUACACGUACCCCUGGUUGGGAACCACUGGACUAUGGUACUCUGGAACAUUACUGUAAUGGGGGGACUGCAGUUGUGGGUCAUCACAGUAAACAGCUUUGAAUUCAUUUGCUGUCUCUUAUUCUGCUCCAGUCACUAUGCAGAAUGCACACUUGGCAAGGAAGCUCUUGCUUGCCAGCCCCUAUUCGGUGUGAUUUGUUGUUGUGCUGUGUCAUUUUAAUUCUAGUCCCCAACCUCUUGGAAGCGCUCUCUGAAGGUUAAUGGUACAGCCUAAUGACUUGUAAUUCUGAAUGGAGAGAGCCAGUAGCAUAGCGUCCACGAUCAAUCUGCUCUGGGUCCGUUUUCUCUGGAUGUUUUCCACCAGGCGGCUGAUUUUUCUAAGCAGUUACACACCAUCCCUGUACUCAUUCCAUUAUUUGGGCAAAUUGAAAUGGGCCAUCACCUGCCAGGAAACAAAGGCGAGACUCGUGUUUGGAGUGGAGGCCAAGCUGAAAGCCAAUAAAAAUCAGCGGCCUGUGGCCUUGUCGUUCCGAGUUUUAUCUUGUCAAGCUUGUGUUGAUGGAUACAUCCCAAAAUAUGUAGUGGCGUGAAAGCUGUUAACAUACAGUAUUCAGUCCAUGUAUAGAGCAUGUUAACGGUCAUGGAAUAAUUGUAUUUUUAUGUCUCCUCUCUCUCUCCAUAGUAACACAGUUCAUGUUGACAGGCCACUACAAUUCCCAUAUCCUUAAUACGUUUGUUAUACAGAAAAAUGGUUAACAUCUCCAGGAAUCUAUUAAAGCUAUUUAAAGGAGACUUUGUCUGCAGAUUGUACUCUAUUUUAGGAGAGCUCAGCGUUCUUAUUUUGCAUAAAUGAGCAAUUUUGUACAAGCUGCAUGGUGUGCUAUCGGCAGUGGUGUUCCAAUUUAUUAAGUUAUGUCAGACAUUCCGUGUCUAUUCAUGGAAAAGGUGA